rnacentral:rRNA from 1 species
GAUGAACGCUGGCGGCGUGCCUAACACAUGCAAGUCGAGCGAACGGACGAGAAGCUUGCUUCUCUGAUGUUAGCGGCGGACGGGUGAGUAACACGUGGAUAACCUACCUAUAAGACUGGGAUAACUUCGGGAAACCGGAGCUAAUACCGGAUGAUAUUUUGAACCGCAUGGUUCAAAAGUGAAAGACGGUCUUGCUGUCACUUAUAGAUGGAUCCGCGCUGCAUUAGCUAGUUGGUAAGGUAACGGCUUACCGAGGCAACGAUGCAUAGCCGACCUGAGAGGGUGAUCGGCCACACUGGAACUGAGACACGGUCCAGACUCCUACGGGAGGCAGCAGUAGGGAAUCUUCCGCAAAGGGCGAAAGCCUGACGGAGCAACGCCGCGUGAGUGAUGAAGGUCUUCGGAUCGUAAAACUCUGUUAUUAGGGAAGAACAUAUGUGUAAGUAACUGUGCACAUCUUGACGGUACCUAAUCAGAAAGCCACGGCUAACUACGUG